UUGGGGAUUUAGCUCAGUGGUAGAGCGCUUGCCUAGCAAGCGCAAGGCCCUGGGUUCGGGCCCCAGCUCCAAA
rnacentral:tRNA from 1 species